AUGGGAAGGAAAAUAAUGGGAACAGAUCAGACAGACAAAUGGCUCCUCAGAAGAAAGUAUAAGAGGCAAUGCUUGGUCCUAUACAAGAUGGGAAAUGGAAUUGGAAGUUUCACAUUAAGCUGGGAUUUCUUGAAAGGCCACACUUUCUAUGAACUGGUGAGACAGAAAAAUCUACCAACCGACAAAGGAAUCUUGGCUGUUUGAACUCGUUCAACACUGAAGUCCUCCAUGUGUGCUUAUCUAUAUGGCAAAGUUACAGGCAAAACUAAAAGUGACUUUGAUUUUUUCCUUAUUCACACUAUCUUUGAUGAUUUCAAUUUUAACCUUUUACUAGUAUCACAAAACGAGUUGGAAACUGUACAUUUCUUUUUAACUGGAAACAUUUAUACAUGAUUAGAAUUAUUUUUUCUUUCUUGUGUGUUUGACAAAUUAGCAUGCAAAACUGUUGGUUCCUAGGUUAUUUCUUGUCUGAGAGGUGCAUUUUAAGCCAUUGAUUCUGUUUAAUGUUUAGGACUGUUAAAAUUUAGCAUUGUUUUCUUAAGAUACAUUGAUAAGUAAUCUUUUUUAGCAAUCAAGAAGUCACUUGCUGAAUCAAAAGCUGCACGGACUUUUGAUAGUUCCAGAAUCAUGCUACUUCUAUGAUGAUUUGCACUAGCAAAAUGCCUUCAAUACCCAAGAAGCCAAGGUUCAGAUUCAACUCUAGCUGCUGCAGAAAACUCCUGCAUUCAUAACUGUUCACCAGCCCAAUGGCAAGAAUACUAGACAUGUGACCUUCUAAUGAUAUGCUGGUUCCACAUUCCAAGUCUAGUAUGUGCAUAUCAGAUCCUGAUCCCCUCUACAAGAGAGAAAAUACAGUUUAUUUCCUGACUUUGGAUUUUAUAAGAGGUCAGCAAGAUUACUAGACAUAUGAUCAACAUACAAAGGUCAAUUGUGAUCCUAACAUAGCAAAUGAGAAUUAAGAAAUGUAAUUUUACAAAAGUGAUAGCAUGUACAAUGGCAUAAAAAAUAUAAGGUAACUGGGAAUUAAUCCUAUAAAAUGUGUGAAUAACCUUUUUGGAAGAAAGAGUUUUAUUGAAAUAUAAUUAAAAAUGUCAAAACAAAUGGAGCAAUAUGCCAGACUCAUUAAUAUAACAAGUGUUAAUAUCCUAAAUAUAUCAAUUUAUCCCAUAUUGAGCUAUAAAUUAGAACUUCCUGCAACAUCUCAGAAAUGUUUUGCAAGGAAUUUGACUAAGGUGUCCUAAAAUUUAUAUGGAUAACCAAAGCUUCAAGAAUACUUAACAAGAUGUUGAUGAAGAGUUAAUGCAGGAAUUUGCCCUUCCAGGUAUCAAAAUACAUUAUAAAACUAUUCUAAGACUGGGUGUAAUUGCCUUAAGGAAAGACAAAUACACUAGUGGAUCAGAGAACACAGGUAUAAACACAUACACCUGGAAACUUGAUUUGUAGCAAAAUUGGCUUUCAAGAUCAGUGGGGAAAGGAUGAGCAAUAAAACAAGUGGAAAUGGAAUAGCUGGUUAUUAAUGUGAGGGGAAAUGACUAAAAUUAGUAUUGCAUCUUACCCCUGAACAAAAAUCAACUCUGGGGUGCUUAAAGACCUAAAAUAUGAAAACAGAUUCUGAGAGUUUUCAAAGAAAUCAUAAGACAAUAUUUUUAUUACUUCAAGGUAUGAGAGCAUUUCUUAACAAGAUACAAAAAAUGCAAACCCUAAUUUAAAAAACUGAUAACUUUGACAACAUCAAACCUAAAACCUUCUUCAUAUCCAAAAACCCAUAAAUAGAGGGGCAUUUUAAUUUGUGGUAAAAUAUUUGCAGCCAAAAUGACUUGAAAUUUUUACUACUAAGAAUAUGUGAACAAAUCCUAUAAAAGAAUAAGAAAAAUAUAAGUAAAAUAAGCCAGAAGAAAAUAACCCAAACAAAUAAAUAGGUAUUUCAUACAAGCAACAGGAAUGGGUAACACAUACUUGAAAAAUAUUUAAGCUCACUAUGGUUAGGGAAAGGCAUAUAAAAACCGUGAGAUAAAAUUUCACACUCAUCAAAGCAACACAAAGAUUAACAUGUCUAAUAUUAUUAGGUGUUGGCAAAGAUGUGGAAAAACAUUUCUAGCACUGACGUGUGGCUAUAAAUGCAACUAUUUUGGAAAACAAAUUGGAGACAUCUUGAAAAGUUGAACAUGGUCAUACUUUUCAUCAAGUAAUGACACUUCAGUAUAUGCCUUUGGGAAACUCUCCCAUGUGCUUACAAGGAGGCAUGUACAAAAAUGUGCUUAGCAGGAUUCUUUGUAAUGUAAAAAUUUGAGAACAAUUUAAAUCCCUGCCAACAGAAAAAUAAAUAUAGCAUGCUCAAAUAGUGUAAAGUUAUACAGCAGAACUUCCCAAAUUUUUCACAUCGUGGCACACAUAAAAAAUAACAUUUGUAUGGCAUGCUGCUAUAACCUAGAGGGGAUUUAGGGUCCUUUAUAUGUAGAAUGCCUAUAUAUUAUGCUUUGUCCAGGACAAUACUGGUUUGUCCAGCACCCUUUCCCAGUUUAAGCUAUUGUACCAGGGUAAUUAUUAACAGUGACUGUUGAAUUUCCAAAAUAUUCUAGUUUGAACAAAAAAAUUAUAAGUUCACGCUUUGUCUAUAGGGCUUAGUGAAACAAAUUCCAUUAUAUUUUUGUUAUAAACACGAAAAAGAUAAAAGACAAUUAUGGAAGCUAUUCAAUACGGGAAUGUUAAAACAUAG
rnacentral:lncRNA from 1 species